CCCUUAGAUGUUCUGGGCCGCACGCGCGCUACACUGACGAAGUCAGCGAGCAUGUCCUACGCCGACAGGUGCGGGGAAUCUUGUUAAACUUCGUCGUGAUGGGGAUUGAUUAUUGAAAUUCUUGAUCAUCAACGAGGAAUUCCUAGUAAGCGCAAGUCAGCAGCUUGCGUUGAUUACGUCCCUGCCCUUUGUACACACCGCCCGUCGCUACUACCGAUUGAAUGGUUUAGUGAGAUCUUCGGAUUGGCGCCACUGCGGCUCAGCAAUGGGCUCGGUGGAUGCCGAAAAGUUGAUCAAACUUGAUCAUUUAGAGGAAGUAAAAGUCGUAACA
rnacentral:rRNA from 1 species